ACUACUAAAAUUAACUUAACACCAUAGAUAGUUUAACAUUAAUUAAACCAAAGAAUUAAAUCAUUUUUCCACCUUAGUACGGGAGACGGAAAAGGUAAUUUUAAGCAAUAGAGAAAGUACCGCAAGGGAAAGCUGAAAGAGUAAUGAAACAAUCCAUUCAAGCACGAAAAAGCAGAGCCUAACCCUCGUACCUUUUGCAUCAUGAUUUAGCCAGCACCACACAAGCAAAGUGACCUUUAGUUUGAAAUCCCGAAACCAAGUGAGCUACCCCGGGACAGCCUAUUUGGGCGAACCCGUCUCUGUGGCAAAAGAGUGGGAAGAGCCCCGGGUAGAGGUGAUAAACCUACCGAACUUGGUGAUAGCUGGUUGCCUAAGAAAUGAAUAAAAGUUCAGCCUCGUACCCCUUUAGCCAACUGGGAAAUAUCUGAGUAAGCAUAAGAGAGAAAUACGAGAGUUAGUUAAAGGGGGUACAGCCCCUUUAAUAAAGGACACAACCUUAAAUAGGUGGAUAAGAGUCACAUUUUAUAAAACUAGUCGUUCCAGUGGGCCUAAAAGCAGCCACCUGAAUAGAAAGCGUUAAAGCUCAAACGACAUACAGUUUAUUAUACUGAUAAAUAGCCCAAUUCCCCUAAAAGUAUUAGGCCAUUCCAUGCCACCAUGGAAGAGACCAUGCUAGAAUGAGUAAUAAGAGGGCAUGACCCUCUCCUAGCACAAGUGUAAGCCAGAUCGGACAAGCCACUGGAAGUUAACGAACCCAUUAAAAGAGGGUAAUGUGUUCACUAAAGAAUUCAAGAAAAUAACACAAUAUUAACAUCGUUAAACCCACACUGGAGUGCCAUCAAGGAAAGACUAAAAGGAAGGGAAGGAACUCGGCAAGCACAAGCCUCGCCUGUUUACCAAAAACAUCGCCUCCUGCAAACCCCUACGUAUAGGAGGUCCAGCCUGCCCGGUGACUACAAGUUUAACGGCCGCGGUAUUUUGACCGUGCAAAGGUAGCGCAAUCACUUGUCUUUUAAAUGAAGACCUGUAUGAAUGGCUAAACGAGGGCUUAACUGUCUCCCUUUUCAGGUCAGUGAAAUUGAUCUACCCGUGCAG
rnacentral:rRNA from 1 species